AGAGAAUCGAUGAGAAUACUUUUCCUAGUCUAGAAGAUACCAGAUAUCUGAACGUGAUUCUCUUCCGUUUUUAAGCUUCUCUGUUCUAUAGGUGAACUGAUAGUCCAGUGUUAAACACUCAGUGCCAGUCUGACUUUCUCCCUUUCUCCUCAGGGGUCUGAAUGGUGACAGAAACAUGCCGGUGGUCCGGGGACUGGGCUCAGCUGACCCAGAAGAGGUGAAGAGGCUGAAGGACACCAGCUUCUUCAUCUGUAAUCGAUAGCUGCUUCUAUGAUUAGGGUUUUCCCAGCAUGACAACGACCCGAAACACACAGCCAGGGCAACUAAGGAGUGGCUCCGUAAGAAGCAUCUCAAGGUCCUGGAGUGGCCUAGCCAGUUUCCAGACCUGAACCCAAUAGAAAAUCUUUGAAGGGAGCUGAAAGUCCAUAUUACCCAGCGACAGCCCCGAAACCUGAAAGAUCUGGAGAAGGUCUAUAUGGAGGAUUGGGACAAAAUGCCUGCUGCAGUGUGUGCAAACCUGGUCAAGAACUACAGGAAACGUAUGAUCUCUGUAAUUGCAAACAAAAGUUUCUGUACCAAAUAUUAAGUUCUGCU
ensembl:lncRNA